rnacentral:misc_RNA from 1 species
AAACUGCGAUAAGUAGUGUGAAUUGCAUUUAGUGAAUCAUCGAAUCUUUGAACGCACCCUGCACUCACUGGUAUUCCGGUGAGUACGCCUGUUUCAGUAUCAUUGAAAACACACAAUCAAAACAUUUUCUUUGGUUUGAUUGGCUUUGGGUCUAUCAAAAAGUUUGGCUUGUUUCUUACAAGCCAAGCGGCCUGAAAUAUAUUGUCUGGCUAAUUGCAUCGUUGAUGAUCGCUAUUAGACUUUGGCUUUUUUAAAUGAACUGGAGGUUGAUUAACCAGUUUUAGCUUUAGUCAAAUGGUCAUUGUAAAAAAAAUCUCGAUCUUGGCUAGGUGUUUAUAGCCGAAAAUUUUUUUUUGGCUAUACCCGAAACCAAUAUAAUCACAUUUAGUUAUCGAUCUGAAAUCAGGUGGGACUACCCGCUGAACUUAAGC